AGUUGGAUUGUUAAAGAUAAAAUGCUUAAAUGCGAUAGCGUGUCCGAUAUUUUUCUUUUAUUAAAAAGCUCAGAUUUUAUUAUUCAUGACCUGGAACAUGCUUACGAUAAUUGUGAGGAAAAAAAUAAGCCUUCUCGCCCCGAAAAAUUUUAUUUGGUGCUUAAAAAGUGGUAUUCUUUAAACAACGCCAUGGAGUUUAGAUGUUUUAUUAGGAAUAGCAAGUUGGUAGG